rnacentral:rRNA from 1 species
UGGGGAAUUUUGGACAAUGGGGGCAACCCUGAUCCAGCAAUGCCGCGUGAGUGAAGAAGGCCUUCGGGUUGUAAAGCUCUUUUGUCAGGGAAGAAACGGUGGAGGCCAAUACCCUCUGCUAAUGACGGUACCUGAAGAAUAAGCACCGGCUAACUACGUGCCAGCAGCCGCGGUAAUACGUAGGGUGCAAGCGUUAAUCGGAAUUACUGGGCGUAAAGCGUGCGCAGGCGGUUAUGUAAGACAGAUGUGAAAUGCCCGGGCUCAACCUGGGAACUGCAUUUGUGACUGCAUGGCUAGAGUGUGUCAGAGGGGGGUAGAAUUCCACGUGUAGCAGUGAAAUGCGUAGAUAUGUGGAGGAAUACCGAUGGCGAAGGCAGCCCCCUGGGAUAACACUGACGCUCAUGCACGAAAGCGUGGGGAGCAAACAG